rnacentral:lncRNA from 1 species
CUUUUCUGCCGGGUCGAGUCAGGGUCGCCUUCCUCCGAGCUCUGAGUUAUCCAUCAAGCGGAGCCAGCCUGAAAGCUAGGUGCAUUUCCCUGGGGAUAUAGGGAACAGAGAGAAGAGGGCGAGAGGGACCAAUGGAUAGGGAGUAAUAAAGUUUAUGAGAGGGUGUGGGGCGGUCUUCUGUACCACGGGGCCGUCC